GUGUAUAGCAGAUCUCAUUUCAUUAUUCUGAAUGAACAUUUGGUGCCGAAACAUUUGGUUUGCAAAUUACUUGUAACACAUGUUGGUUGAGCAUUCCGUGAGCUGAACUAUAAGCAUUUCAUAUAUACCGAAUUUUGUUGAUGGAACUGAAUACAUGGGUAACAGAUACUUACUGACAAGGAAUGAGGAGAACAAGGAAAAACGAUCUUGGUCAUGCACCUCUGGAAGAAAUGGCCAGUGUUCGAUCAUAUUUAGCUUGCCGAAGGACCAGCUGCAGUUGGCAAACAAUAUCUGUUCAAACUUGAUUAUACUGUAAACAAACUAGGUAUGGUUUUUGCAAUUUGUCAUAGUUUUCAGCGUACCUACAUGCUUAUGUUCAUGUGUGUGUACUCAUAGCUUGUGUUGGUGUGUGUGUGUAACUGUGUAUUUUGGGAGAGGGGAUAAAGCCUAUAAAUUUUACACUUGAUCAUUA